GAAGUGUUUUUUUGGAGCUCGACCCUGUAGCUGAGGACGCCCGGAACGGAAUUCAUCGAGAAGACCACACCACCCCUCAACCCGUAGACGGUUUGCGACGUUCUUUGCCAGAAGCAUCAUUUUCAACGGCUGGAUUCAUCCACUUGAGAGCGGGAGAAUCUAAAAAGCAAACGGCAAGCACUUGGAAAUUACUGAUUUGAAAGACAACCCUGGUAUUGUGGCUCUUAAAAAAUAAGGACAAUCUGGACGAAAAUUGUAAUCAAAGCAUCUACACCUACAACUUCCAACAUCGAGUUGAACCGGGGCGGUUCAAGCUAGGAAGGGGGGAGUUAUGUCCUAACCUGCCAAACAUCAUUGUACAAGUUCUUCCACAGCAUAGUUCCCACGCCAGAGUUAGCGCCAGGCAAAACAACAACAACGGACAUCCGAUCCUGUACGUGACAAUUGGAUGGGAGACAUCGCGCGCCAGCGAUUCCCAGCUGACCUCAGCAUCACAAACGUGAC